rnacentral:rRNA from 1 species
AUUGAACGCUGGCGGCAUGCUUUACACAUGCAAGUCGAACGGCAACGAGGAGAAGCUUGCUUCUCUGUCGGCGAGUGGCGAACGGGUGAGUAUAGCAUCGGAACGUGCCAAGUAGUGGGGGAUAACCAAACGAAAGUUUGGCUAAUACCGCGUAAGCUCCAAGGAGGAAAGUAGGGGACCUAAAUAAGGCCUUACGCUAUUUGAUCGGCCGAUGUCGGAUUAGCUAGUUGGUGGGGUAAUGGCUCACCAAGGCAAUGAUCCGUAGCGGGUCUGAGAGGACGAUCCGCCACACUGGGACUGAGACACGGCCCAGACUCCUACGGGAGGCAGCAGUGGGGAAUUUUGGACAAUGGGGGAGACCCUGAUCCAGCCAUGCCGCGUGUAUGAAGAAGGCCUUAGGGUUGUAAAGUACUUUUGUUAGGGAAGAAAAGCUAGUUUUUAAUAAAAAUUAGUGAUGACGGUACCUAAAGAAUAAGCACCGGCUAACUACGUG